UACGUAGGGCGCAAUCGUUAUCCGGAAUUAUUGGGCGUAAAGAGCUCGUAGGCGGUUUGUCGCGUCUGCCGUGAAAGUCCGGGGCUCAACUCCGGAUCUGCGGUGGGUACGGGCAGACUAGAGUGAUGUAGGGGAGACUGGAAUUCCUGGUGUAGCGGUGGAAUGCGCAGAUAUCAGGAGGAACACCGGUGGCGAAGGCGGGUCUCUGGGCAGUAACUGACGCUGAGGAGCGAAAGCGUGGGGAGCGAACAGG
rnacentral:rRNA from 1 species